AGUGAACGCUGGCGGUAGGCCUAACACAUGCAAGUCGAACGGCAGCACAGUAAGAGCUUGCUCUUACGGGUGGCGAGUGGCGGACGGGUGAGGAAUACAUCGGAAUCUACUUUUUCGUGGGGGAUAAUGUAGGGAAACUUACGCUAAUACCGCAUACGACCUACGGGUGAAAGCAGGGGAUCUUCGGACCUUGCGCGAUUGAAUGAGCCGAUGUCGGAUUAGCUAGUUGGCGGGGUAAAGGCCCACCAAGGCGACGAUCCGUAGCUGGUCUGAGAGGAUGAUCAGCCACACUGGAACUGAGACACGGUCCAGACUCCUACGGGAGGCGGCAGUGGGGAAUAUUGGACAAUGGGCGCAAGCCCGAUCCAGCCAUACCGCGUGGGUGAAGAAGGCCUUCGGGUUGUAAAGCCCUUUUGUUGGGAAAGAAAAGCAGCAGGUUAAUACCCCGCUGUUCUGACGGUACCCAAAGAAUAAGCACCGGCUAACUUCGUG
rnacentral:rRNA from 1 species